CCAUAAUUCGUCAGCUAAACCUUAUAAAAAAAUUUAAAAAUACUAUAGCCGACGAAUAAACCUUUAAAUAUCGUCGGCUAAAGUUGCUGGUUUUUGAAAAAAAAAACUGCAGAAACUUUCAGCCACCUCCAAUCACCACCAAAAUUUGACAGAAUCUUCUUCUCAACAUUUCGAACAACUUUCUAGAAGAAGUCGAAUCCCAAUUCUAAGCCUAAAUAGGUCAAUUGAAUCAAAAUAUAAAAAUCCCCAAUUUUAAACCCUAAAAACUUCAAAUCUUCGAUUCUCCUCACACACACCGAAUCGAGCUACCAAAUUCUAGGGGAAUGUAGUACUAAUCAAACUCAACAAAUGGUGACCUAAGGAGAAAUUCGAUCGACACCGAAUCCGAACCGGCAGAGUUUUGGAGCUCGAUUUAUCUCUCACGGCGGCGCCACUCGAUGCACCACCUAUCCAUAUAUAAAACUCACCAAAUGGUGACCUAAGGAGAAAUUCGAUCGACACCGAAUCCGAACCGGCAGAGUUUUGGAGCUCGAUUUAUCUCUCACUGCGGCGCCACUCGAUGCACCACCUAUCCAGCAAUGAAGUAGAGACGACGGCGAAGCUUUUGGGACAACUGUGACGGUCUCCAGUGGCUUGACGGCGGAGCUAGGCCGAGAAGAAAAUCUGGCAGGCGAAAUAGACUUCUUACCAUCCACCUUCGGUAAUAUAAAGAACUUUAGCCGACGAAAUUUUUCGUCGGCUAAACUCUUUUGAAAAUUUUGGUUGCCCGCCAAAAAAAUUUUUGGUUGAAAAUUUUGAAAAUUUUCGACUUUAGCCGACGACUUUUCAUAUAUUUUCGUCGGCUAAAGUCCUUUGAAAAUUUUCCUCCUAAAUUUGGUUUACCGCCUGAAAAUUUUUGACCUUAGCCGACCUACUUUUUUAAUAUCUCGUCGGCUAAAGUCUAUAAAUUCACGAAAACGCUCAUAUCUCCCUCUAUAUUACGUAGUUUGGUCAAACCUUCCACACGAAAAACUUUCACGUAGAUGAGACGCAACCGCCUAUAUAAAAAUUUUGAGACAUUUGUCUUCCGAUGAUAGGGCUCCCCAUAGGGAAUAAUAACGGUAAAUAGGGUUGACCGCUACUAUCGGCACCGAGACUUUACCCGAUUUACGUGAUUUUUGAACCAUAGCCGUUUUUCACCAUUCUGAACACAUCUUAUUUCACGAGAUUUUUGAUAAUUUUGCUUCCUAUAUAGAGUUGGUUCACAAAGUUGUAUAACCUACUAAACAAGUUAUACAACAUUAGUAGACACGUUGUGAUUCCGAUGACUAAAAUUCACAAACCAAAAUUCGACGGUCAGAUAUGAUCAUUAUGACGAAAGAUGUCUAUGGUAAAAAAUUCAACUGGAUCCGACAACGUUAAGGACUCGAUCGAAACGGGUAACCCUAAUCCAUCGUCACUUAUC
rnacentral:lncRNA from 1 species